UAGGGAAUCUUCCACAAUGGACGAAAGUCUGGUGGAGCAACGCCGCGUGAGUGAAGAAGGGUUUCGGCUCGUAAAACUCUGUUGUUAAAGAAGAACAUAUCUGAGAGUAACUGUUCAGGUAUUGACGGUAUUUAACCAGAAAGCCACGGCUAACUACGUGCCAA
rnacentral:rRNA from 1 species